CCUACCCCACUGCGCGUCAAGGUCUGGGGUGACAGAGGGCGCUAGACAGCGAGUCCGGGAGGGGCGGUGCCACCACACUGCAAUCCUCUGUGAAACUCUACUUUCAAAAACACAGUGAUAGGUGCCUGAAGAGACCCUUACCUCCAGUGCAAGAACUGGGAGAUGCACCUCCCAGCUGUUUCCAAACUAACCAGAGAAGGUGAAGAAUUCUCAGACCUUACUCCCUUCCAGCUAAAUGUCUGUCUUUGCAAAUCUUUUAGGAGCUGGCUACCUCCAGUUCUCUUCCUUUGUCAUCUCUUCCUAGAGAAGGAACUGGAGAGGUGGGUUAAGGUAAGGACCCUACCUUCCAUUCGACCAUUCGACGUUGCUAGUCCACAGAUCAACAAAAUGAGGAUACUAGGAGCCUGGGUGCUGUGUGAAGAUCAGAUUGUGAUUGUCUAGGUUUAGGAAACCUUUUGAAACCUGUUCUGUGAUACAAAUGUAAAGGAUUCCUAUUGUCAACAUUGUAACUAUUUCCACUCCUCUUUUGAGGCCAAUGCAGCUGCAGCCCAGCCUUUCCUUCUCUCCUCACCUUCAAUGACUUCUAGAUAGGCCCAGACUUAAACAGGUUCCUGUGAUAAGCACCCCUUGGGGUUUCAGUGGUGCAUCCUCUCUUCUUCCAGGAUAGUACAGGUAAGAGAGGGACAGGGAGAGUCAGUUUGAACUUUCUGUGUCCACCAUGGUCUUUCUUACCUUGAUUUCAGGAAUAAAGGGCAAAAGGAAAUGAAGAUUAAAAAAAAAAUGUCUGGGAUCCACAGUCCUCUUCAGUCACUCCAUGUCUUGUCCCAGAUGAUUAAGAAUACAUGGGCACCAAGAGGACAAGAAGAUUAAUGGGAACUGUAUUUGAAGCAGCCAUAAUGUGGAAACAACCUCCAAUGUUCAUUAACAGAAAAAAAAGGGCGAAUCGCGGCAAAAGUAUACAAUUGUGUCUUGUGUAGCAUUAAAAGCAAAUAAGCCUCUGUUGCACACAAUACAUUGCCCAUACUGUGCAAAUAUGAUUUUUUAGCAAGAGUUACCAGACACAGAAUAGAUAUGCUUCAAUUUACAUAAAAUUCAAAACUAACCUAUUGUGUGGGCAGUCAGGAUGAUGCCUCCUUUAGGGAAAAAGUAGGAAAUAAUGACUGGGGGAUACCAUGCGAUCUCUGGUGGGGGAUGGAAACAGUUGACCAGUAUACUCCUACUGUGAUGAUAAAGCCACCUACUAGGUGGUUAUUCUUUGCACUGAAGACUUAGGAUAUUUAUUUGCUUGUUUAUUUAUUUAUUUAUCUUUUUUAAGGGGGGGACAGGGUUUCUUUAUAUAGCCUUGGCUGUUAUGGAACACUGUAGGCCAGGCUGGCCCCGAAUUUGGAGACCUGCCUGCCUCUCUGUCCUGAGCGCUGAGAUUAAAGGCGUGCACCACCACUGCCUGACGAUUUAGAAAGCUUUAAUAGGCUUUCACUUAGACCAGUGUCAGAUAGGUUGUUAAUGGCAGUAGGGAAAUGGAGGUGGAAAGUGAUCAAGAAUGAAAUUAGAAAUUAGUGGAAUGUGAGGAAGUAAAAUCUACAUCUCUGGGAAGGAUGAACAACAGCGGCGGGGGGAGUUCAGUGGCCUAGAAUUGAAGGGAUAUUUGUGUUUAGCGUGGUGGAUUCUAUGAGAAAGAUAAGAAAGCAUUUGUUCAUGUCAGAGAGAUAGGAAAGGGAAAAAAAGAAAGGCUUAUAACUCAAGAAAGAAUGACUAGAAGAAACAAAGUCUGAGAGGAAAAGAAGGUGGGUAAAACAAGCUUUAGUGGAAUUUGAGCUUAAUUGUGUUUUAUUAGGAAUAUAUAUAUAUAUAUAUUAUUUUAUAAACAUGAGUUUCAUUUUGAUGUUUUCCAACUCAUUAUCUCUUGUCUCCCUCCCCAUUGUAACAGCUCCCAUUUUCCUCCUAUAUUACAGUUUCUACUUUCAUGUUUUGUUAAGCUAGAUUUUGUAUGUGGGAGAAAUAUGCAGUACUUGUCUUUGUAAGUCUAGUUAUUUUACUUACUAUGGUUAUCACCAGUUCAUUCAUUUUUCUGCAAAGGUCAUAAUUCAUUCUUCUUCAUAGCUGAAUAAUACUCCAGUGUGUAUAUAUGCCACAUUUUUCAUCCAUUCAUACUUUAAUGUGUACCUAGACUGAUAACAUAACUUGGCUAUCUUGUGCACUCAAGCAAUGGGCAUUGGUAUGUAGGUAUCCCCAGGGUUUCAUGUCAUUAAAGUGGUAAAAACGAAACCUGU